ACGCUGGCGGCGUGCCUAAUACAUGCAAGUAGAACGCUGAAGGAGGAGCUUGCUUCUCCGGAUGAGUUGCGAACGGGUGAGUAACGCGUAGGUAACCUGCCUGGUAGCGGGGGAUAACUAUUGGAAACGAUAGCUAAUACCGCAUAAGAGUAGAUGUCGUAUGACAUUUGCUUAAAAGGUGCAAUUGCAUCACUACCAGAUGGACCUGCGUUGUAUUAGCUAGUUGGUGGGGUAACGGCUCACCAAGGCGACGAUACAUAGCCGACCUGAGAGGGUGAUUGGCCACACUGGGACUGAGACACGGCCCAGACUCCUACGGGAGGCAGCAGUAGGGAAUCUUCGGCAAUGGACGGAAGUCUGACCGAGCAACGCCGCGUGAGUGAAGAAGGUUUUCGGAUCGUAAAGCUCUGUUGUAAGAGAAGAACGAGUGUGAGAGUGGAAAGUUCACACUGUGACGGUAUCUUACCAGAAAGGGACGGCUAACUACGUGCCAGCAGCCGCGGUAAUACGUAGGUCCCGAGCGUUGUCCGGAUUUAUUGGGCGUAAAGCGAGCGCAGGCGGUUAGAUAAGUCUGAAGUUAAAGGCUGUGGCUUAACCAUAGUACGCUUUGGAAACUGUUUAACUUGAGUGCAAGAGGGGAGAGUGGAAUUCCAUGUGUAGCGGUGAAAUGCGUAGAUAUAUGGAGGAACACCGGUGGCGAAAGCGGCUCUCUGGCUUGUAACUGACGCUGAGGCUCGAAAGCGUGGGGAGCAAACAGGAUUAGAUACCCCUGGUAGUCCACGCCGUAAACGAUGAGUGCUAGGUGUUAGACCCUUUCCGGGGUUUAGUGCCGCAGCUAACGCAUUAAGCACUCCGCCUGGGGAGUACGACCGCAAGGUUGAAACUCAAAGGAAUUGACG
rnacentral:rRNA from 1 species